rnacentral:rRNA from 1 species
AUACGGAGGAUCCGAGCGUUAUCCGGAUUUAUUGGGUUUAAAGGGUGCGCAGGCGGCCAUUUAAGUCAGCGGUUAAAUCGUGGGGCUCAACCCCAUUCUGCCGUUGAUACUGGGUGGCUUGAUUGCGGUCGAGGUUGGCGGAAUUCGUUGUGUAGCGGUGAAAUGCAUAGAUAUGACGAAGAACACCGAUUGCGUAGGCAGCUGACCAGACCGCAAAUGACGCUCAUGCACGAAAGUGCGGGGAUCGAACAGGAUUAGAUACCGUGGUAGUCCGCACAGUAAACGAUGAAUACUUGUUUUCGGCGAUAUAAUGUCGGAGGCAAAGCGAAAGCGAUAAGUAUUCCACCUGGGGAGUACGCCGGAAACGGUGAAACUCAAAUGAAUUGACGGGG